AAUGUGCCGAGGCUUGGUAACUCCACCACCGUUGGCGGAAUUCAACGGCCAAUGGGGUACGAGUUUCCUUCUCUCGGCGCGAA
rfam:Atta colombica isolate Treedump-2 unplaced genomic scaffold scaffold100, whole genome shotgun sequence.